rnacentral:pre_miRNA from 1 species
UAACGACCCUCUAAGUUUUGCAUCUGUAGCAGUUUUGGCCCCCAAAGACAAAAAUUAAAAAAAAACAACGUGGCACCUUACUUAGAGUGCCACAUCAGCGUAGACCGAGUCAAAAUUGGCAUUGGAGGCCAAAACUGCCACAGAUGCAAAACUUCGAGGGCCUUUU